UACGUAGGGUGCAAGCGUUGUCCGGAAUUAUUGGGCGUAAAGAGCUCGUAGGCGGUCAGUCGCGUCUGCUGUGAAAACUCGGGGCUUAACUCCGGGCCUGCAGUGGGUACGGGCUGACUAGAGUGCGGUAGGGGAGACUGGAAUUCCUGGUGUAGCGGUGAAAUGCGCAGAUAUCAGGAGGAACACCGAUGGCGAAGGCAGGUCUCUGGGCAUUAACUGACGCUGAGGAGCGAAAGCAUGGGGAGCGAACAGG
rnacentral:rRNA from 1 species